GAUGUCCCGGGUUUGUUUUUGCUCUUUAAGACAACUAACGUUAGUUAAUCAUCUGAAAGCGACUAAAAUAACGAAUAUAUCCAUAUAACCAUGUCACCACAAUUACAUUACACCUAAAGUAACCGGGCUAGUCUGAUACAUCCACGGCCAACAGUGUUUACACCGAGCUAGCUUAUUCUGUUUAAUGCUCCGUCGUUGACACCAUGGUGCUAAGCUAGGAAAUGCUAACGUAACGAUUGUCUCGACUCACCGUCCCGACAGGAAGAAGCCAUAAGGGUAAGAGCACUUCAGGACGCGUCGCGUCUUCAGCAGCUCACACACACCGUCCUCAAUGAACCGUGUGUCUGGAGGAGUGCCUUCACCUGGACCAGAUGAAGAGGCAAAAACACACAAAGUUGGUCAUCUCCUUGGACUGCUCCUCUAGCUGUUGGAUGACCUCGUAGCGAGUACAGCGAUAGUAGCCUCCUGUGGAUGAGCUGUGCUUCUUCCACUCCUCCAGACAGAUCCAACAGAAGUCAUACUUACACUACAGACUUACCAGCAGAAGAGGUGACCCUUGCCGCAAUCGACAGCUGGGGAUGGCAGCAGGGGGAAACUCUGUGGGUCACUGUCCCCGGGGCCUGGUCGGGUGAGCCGCACCGCCCGCUCACAGCGUGCUGCAGGACACCAGCGGAUAGCAGGAUUGUUCUCCACAAAUGCCUGCAAAGAUAUCGCUGGUCCAUCUCUCUGGAAACCACACUCUCGAUCACGUGCACCGGCACCAACUGGUAGCACUCGUAGGCCGGGCAGAAGAUAUUGUGUGCGUCCCCCUCCUGAAUCUUUACAUUGAGGAACCUGUGAAACACACAAGUUUGUACUCAGCAGGUUGGUUUCACCAUGUGCGUCUGUGUUUGACUGCUGAGCUGAAGAGGAGGAGAAAACCAUCUGUGACUCCAGGCUGAGGGCCAGCUCGGUGUGGUGAUGCCGCUCGGCAUGGUCACAAGGCGUCAACUUGUCCUCAUCCUCCACAAAAAGGUCUGCCUCGCUCUGGAUUAGCAGCUAGAGGGAGGGACGAGGAGGGAGAAAACAGACAACAAAAAGGAAUGGGAGGAAAAAAAGGGGAAGAAGUGGCUCAUGGAGAGGAAGAAGAAAUUGAACGCAACAAAAGACAACAUAGGCAGCGAGAGGCGAGAGCAAGGGGAGCAGACAAAGAGAAGAAAGAGAAAACAAA